rnacentral:rRNA from 1 species
CGGUAUGGGAUGGGGUCGCGUCCUAUCAGCUUGAUGGCGGGGUAACGGCCCACCAUGGCUUCGACGGGUAGCCGGCCUGAGAGGGCGACCGGCCACAUUGGGACUGAGAUACGGCCCAGACUCCUACGGGAGGCAGCAGUGGGGAAUAUUGCACAAUGGGCGCAAGCCUGAUGCAGCGACGCCGCGUGCGGGAUGACGGCCUUCGGGUUGUAAACCGCUUUUGACUGGGAGCAAGCCCUUCGGGGUGAGUGUACCUUUCGAAUAAGCACCGGCUAACUACGUGCCAGCAGCCGCGGUAAUACGUAGGGUGCAAGCGUUAUCCGGAAUUAUUGGGCGUAAAGGGCUCGUAGGCGGUUCGUCGCGUCCGGUGUGAAAGUCCAUCGCUUAACGGUGGAUCCGCGCCGGGUACGGGCGGGCUUGAGUGCGGUAGGGGAGACUGGAAUUCCCGGUGUAACGGUGGAAUGUGUAGAUAUCGGGAAGAACACCAAUGGCGAAGGCAGGUCUCUGGGCCGUCACUGACGCUGAGGAGCGAAAGCGUGGGGAGCGAACAGGAUUAGAUACCCUGGUAGUCCACGCCGUAAACGGUGGAUGCUGGAUGUGGGGACCAUUCCACGGUCUCCGUGUCGGAGCCAACGCGUUAAGCAUCCCGCCUGGGGAGUACGGCCGCAAGGCUAAAACUCAAAGAAAUUGACGGGGGCCCGCACAAGCGGCGGAGCAUGCGGAUUAAUUCGAUGCAACGCGAAGAACCUUACCUGGGCUUGACAUGUUCCCGACAGCCGUAGAGAUACGGUCUCCCUUCGGGGCGGGUUCACAGGUGGUGCAUGGUCGUCGUCAGCUCGUGUCGUGAGAUGUUGGGUUAAGUCCCGCAACGAGCGCAACCCUCGCCCUGUGUUGCCAGCACGUCGUGGUGGGAACUCACGGGGGACCGCCGGGGUCAACUCGGAGGAAGGUGGGGAUGACGUCAGAUCAUCAUGCCCCUUACGUCCAGGGCUUCACGCAUGCUACAAUGGCCGGUACAACGGGAUGCGACACUGUGAGGUGGAGCGGAUCCCUUAAAACCGGUCU